rnacentral:rRNA from 1 species
AUGGCAAGAGCACUUGCGACGAUGCUACUCAUGGCCAUCACGCUGGUUGCCACUACGCUGGCGGCGAGCACCAUGGACAUCGUAGAUAAGGACCUAUCUGAGGAGUCCAUGUGGGCACUUUAUGAGCAUUGGUGCGAGCACCACAGGGUGGCACACCACCUCGGAGACAAGCACCAAUGCUUCAACGUGUUCAAGGAGAACGCACGCAUGAUCCAUGAGUUCACCCAAUGCGACGCGCCCUAUAAGCCGAGCCUCAACCUCUUCGGCGGCAUGGCCAGUGAAGAGGUCGAACACACGUACGGUCGCUGCUCCAACAUCAUGUCCAACGGUCGGAAGCGCUGGCAUCAGGAUCUGCUCACUCAUGGCACCAUCACCGCCCGCGAUGACCUCCCAGCUAUAGUGGACUAGCGAAUGAUGGGAUACGACCAACGUUUGUUAGCAGUGACGAAUGUGAAGCACCAGGGGGCCUGUGGGGGCUGUUGGGCCUUCACGGUAAUAGCGACAAUGGAUGGCAUCAACUCCAUCACGACUCGAAACCUGGCGUCAUUAUCCGUGCAACAACUUCUAGAGCGCGACAAGGGGGAAGGUUGUCAUGGUGGCAACACGGAAGGGGCCUUCAAGCACAUGAUCCACCAUGGCAGCAUCGAAACGGAGGUUGACUACCCGUAUGUUGGCCAUGGGCAUGAAUAUUGUUUGGUUCCCAAGCCGAACCGGAGCCCUGUCAUCACUAUCAACGGCUGCAAACAGGUGUCGUCGAAUGAGGCUGCAUUGAUGCAGGCAGUGGUGGCCCAGCCCGUUGUCAUGGCAAUCUACGCUAACUCGAUGGCCUUUCAACGCUACGGCGAAGGCGUCUUCGUUGGGCCAUGUGGGACAAACCUGAACCACGAAAUGAUGGUGGUAGUCUAUGGCAUCACCGAUGAGCAUGAGUCAAAGGAACCCAUAAGUUACUGGAUCGUCAAGACCUCGCUGGGCCAGAUUGGGGUGAAAAACGACUACAACGGCAUGGCGCUCGACGUUAGUGGUCGCGCUGAGGAGGGUUUAUGCGGCAUCCUCAUGUACACGUCGAAUCCGGUGAAAUUUAGGAGGAAAGAUGAGAAUGAUAUCAUGAAGAGAAAUAAGGUAUGUGUUUACAAAGCUCUUAUAACAUGCUCGCAAGUAUAUAUGGACCUUUUAAGUUUUACCAUAUGA